rnacentral:rRNA from 1 species
AUUGAACGCUGGCGGCAUGCUUUACACAUGCAAGUCGAACGGUAACAGGGUGCUUGCACCGCUGGCGAGUGGCGAACGGGUGAGUAAUGCGUCGGAACGUGCCGAGUAGUGGGGGAUAACGCAGCGAAAGUUGUGCUAAUACCGCAUACGUACUGAGGUAGAAAGUGGGGGACCUUCGGGCCUCACGCUACUCGAGCGGCCGACGUCUGAUUAGCUAGUAGGUGAGGUAAAGGCUCACCUAGGCGACGAUCAGUAGCGGGUCUGAGAGGAUGAUCCGCCACACUGGGACUGAGACACGGCCCAGACUCCUACGGGAGGCAGCAGUGGGGAAUUUUGGACAAUGGGCGAAAGCCUGAUCCAGCAAUGCCGCGUGUGUGAAGAAGGCCUUCGGGUUGUAAAGCACUUUUGUCCGGAAAGAAAUGGCUCUGGUUAAUACCUGGGGUCGAUGACGGUACCGGAAGAAUAAGGACCGGCUAACUACGUGCCAGCCGCCGCAGUAA